rnacentral:rRNA from 1 species
AUGUCGUGCUGGUCGUUUAAAUGUUCCGGAUAUGGUCAGGCGUUGUGUGUUUUUCGAUCUCGUGCUGCUUAUAUUUCGUGUAUGCGUGUGAGCAGGAUUUGUCCGCUUGUUUCCGUUGUUAUACCUAUUUUGGAGGUCAUGGUAACUCGAUGCCCCCCGUGCUCACUCUUUCUGUUGUACAUAGAAGCAUAUUUGUCCAAUUCUCAGACUAAUUUUUUUGAAAGAAACCGCAGUUCAUUACAACGCCAAUUAUGGAUAUGGAUCCAUCUUGCUGCGCUGGAUGAAGGACUGGAUGCAAUAAGAAUUGCAUGUGACAAUUGCUCAUGA